UACGUAGGGUGCAAGCGUUAAUCGGAAUACUGGGCGUAAGCGUGCGCAGGCGGUGAUGUAAGACAGUUGUGAAAUCCCCGGGCUCAACCUGGGAAUUGCAUCUGUGACUGCAUCGCUAGAGUACGGUAGAGGGGGAUGGAAUUCCGGCGUGUAGCAGUGAAAUGCGUAGAUAUGCGGAGGAACACCGAUGGCGAAGGCAAUCCC
rnacentral:rRNA from 1 species